rnacentral:rRNA from 1 species
UACCAAACUGUUGCCUCGGCGGGGUCACGCCCCGGGUGCGUCGCAGCCCCGGAACCAGGCGCCCGCCGGAGGGACCAACCAAACUCUUUUCUGUAGUCCCCUCGCGGACGUUAUUUCUUACAGCUCUGAGCAAAAAUUCAAAAUGAAUCAAAACUUUCAACAACGGAUCUCUUGGUUCUGGCAUCGAUGAAGAACGCAGCGAAAUGCGAUAAGUAAUGUGAAUUGCAGAAUUCAGUGAAUCAUCGAAUCUUUGAACGCACAUUGCGCCCGCCAGUAUUCUGGCGGGCAUGCCUGUCCGAGCGUCAUUUCAACCCUCGAACCCCUCCGGGGGGUCGGCGUUGGGGACCUCGGGAGCCCCUAAGACGGGAUCCCGGCCCCGAAAUACAGUGGCGGUCUCGCCGCAGCCUCUCCUGCGCAGUAGUUUGCACAACUCGCACCGGGAGCGCGGCGCGUCCACGUCCGUAAAACACCCAACUUUCUGAAAUGUUGACCUCGGAUCAGGUAGGAAUACCCGCUGAACUUAAGCAUAUCA